rnacentral:rRNA from 1 species
AUACGGAGGGUGCGAGCGUUGUUCGGAAUUAUUGGGCGUAAAGAGCAUGUAGGCGGUCUGUUAAGUCUGGUGUGAAAGCCCGGGGCUCUACCCCGGAAGUGCAUUGGAUACUGGCAGACUUGAGUAUGGGAGAGGAAAGCGGAAUUCCGAGUGUAGGAGUGAAAUCCGUAGAUAUUUGGAGGAACACCAGUGGCGAAGGCGGCUUUCUGGACCAAUACUGACGCUGAGAUGCGAAAGCGUGGGGAGCAAACAGGAUUAGAAACCCUAGUAGUCC